CGGCUGUGAUGGUCAUCUGGUAAGGAACUGCAUUUGCACUAUCCUACCACUCUAUUCUAUCCUAUCACAUGGUGUCCGGUUCGAACGCUGCGGUGGCCCCCAACUCGUGUCGGUAACGCACGAUUGCUUGUGGGGUCCUAAGCAAUGAAAGACAAUCUUGAGGGAGGUUUCACUCUGCAGAGGAUCUUUCACCGUGGCGUGGCGAGUGGGAUUGCAUCAGUAAUGGGUGAGUGGUGAGAAGCGCAUCGGAUGUGGUGACUUAUAUUU
rfam:Pseudogymnoascus pannorum VKM F-4518 (FW-2643) contig_2533, whole genome shotgun sequence.